rnacentral:rRNA from 1 species
UACGUAGGGGGCAAGCGUUGUCCGGAUUUACUGGGCGUAAAGCGUGCGCAGGCGGUUCGCCAAGUCAGGUGUGAAAUCCCCGGGCUUAACCUGGGAAUUGCGCUUGAAACUAGCGGGCUUGAGUGUGGCAGAGGGGGGGUGGAAUUCCACGUGUAGCAGUGAAAUGCGUAGAGAAUGUGGAGGAACACCGAUGGCGAAGGCAGCCCCCUGGGUUAACACUGACGCUCGAGGC